UCUUUUCUCUAGAUAGAUCUGAAUCACCAUAGCUUAGCUUAGAGGUUGCAUACUAGAGGGGGUGGCUAUGUCAGCUAGUAGUGAGAGUAUUUAUUUUGAGUAAUGCUUUUGUAGUGUACUCUAUGUUGGGUAUUGUAUAGGCCAGACAAAGUCAAUGUUGUAUAUAUAUUAAACCCUUUGUGAUAAAGAUAUGAAGUGAUAAAUGAAAGUUCGAUGUUGUUUUUAGUUUAUGUUGAAUUAAUUGUGGACAAGUUAACAGUUCAGUUCAAGUAUAGUUAGUAAUUCC
rnacentral:lncRNA from 1 species